AUGGUGACGACCAGGAGUGGCUGUAGAACAUCAGGCUUUUAUCAGAGUGAUUUAAGACCCCUCUCUAAAAGAACUACCCUAAAGGGAGCACAACUAAAAAGCACUCGGCCCUUUAAGAAUAGGGGUAAAGUCAAGCCGAGUGAGAAUCACCAGGAAACUGAAACUUCUCCCUCCUCCACUGAAGGGCCGGCUGUGCAGAGAGAGGAUUGCGUAGAAGAAUGCCACAACAAAGGGCCAAUAAAGCCCAAGGUAAAUCCAAACAUAAUUGGUACAGUCACCGAAGUACUCCCAAAACAGAGACUUAAAUCUCAAGCGUCCCCUGAACCAUCCCAAGUCCGAGAAGUGGAAGAACUAAUGUUAAAACAAAUUGCAGAGAUGUCUUCGGGAAACCCUAAAACAUCAAGAGACUCCUGCUUCCAACUUGAGACAAAUGAGGAUGAGGAUUUAUCAGUUAUCAAAUGGCUUGUGCUUUUAACUGAAGAUAUUGAAAACAUAAAAUCUCAUCUGGCCACUUGUACAGAAAUCCUCACUAUAAUGAUGGACACUUGCAAAACUCUCUGUAGGGAACCCAGCGAGGUGACUGUAGAAUUGGAAAGUAAUAACAACUUCCUUCCUACCACCUGCAAAAACAGAUCACCAAGGAAGGCCAAGAGAUCUUGUAGGGCUACUGCCUUGAAAAGGAGGCCCAUAAAGGUAAAAAAGAGCAGAAAUGUUAAAAAUUUUAAGGCAGUGCGUUACAAAAAAAUGGACUUUAAAAAGCUCUUUAAUCUUCUCAAGAGUAUCCCAAUAACCGAGACCAGUGGGAACACUGAGAAACUUCUAACCAGGAAAUCUUCUAAGCAAGAACGUUCUAUAAACCCUUGCCCUGAUGCUGCGAUGGAUUGCUUGGAACCCUUAACACCUACCCCAACACCUAACUCCAAGCAAGACAUUCUGAUCCAAGAUCCAUGGUCUUACAUUCUAUCUGUAGAUGAAACCAACCCCUCUAAGAAGAGAAAUCUGACAAAUCUAACAAAUAAAAACUGGAAUCUGGUGCUGUACCGAAACAAACUCGUUUUAUCAAAUUAUCCUAAACCCCCAGGACUCCUGUCACAAAAAGAGCGUAAAGUCCAUCUAUUGAACCUUUUAAAGAUCUAUAUGCCGGGUAUCCUUAAUAACCCUAAUGAUUUGGCCCAAGUGGAAUAUCUAUACUUCAACGGAUUCCUUGCCAGAGCGGUGGUCUCAUUCUAUGAGGGGAGACUGGCAAAACUAGUGUACAAAUGUAGAGAACAUCUGGAGACGUGUGGUAUAAGAAUCUCAAGAUACUUUAAAAAUGAAGCACCUCCAAUUCCACUUAUCCCCCAUAUUGUAAAUUUGCCAAAAACUCAACACGAGAUUGACCAACACGUUCUAAUUGAUAUAAACUCUGCGGAGGACAUCUUCAAACACCCUACUGGUCUGACUGCCAAGGACUCUCAAAGGUUGGACUCCCUUGGGCCCAGGCAUCCGGAGAAUCAGGGAAUCGACCUUGAUAGCUUUGAUAAUAACUUACUCCACUCUUAUAGCGUUCUCCCGCAAGAAGCUCAGAAAGAAAUACUUCAUAAAAUUGAUACCCUUUACUUCUGCCUGACAAAAGUGACGGAGGAACAGCUGAGAUUACCUAAACAAAAUAUGCUUGAUAGAGACUGUGGUUCAGAUUCUGCCCCAUGCUUAUACCACCAAGAACUGGACCUGUGGGUUGGGAAGGCACCCACCCCUACCAACCAACUGGUUGUUGCGGAGAUGAAUCCACUCUCCCAUAUUCUGGAGGCGGAAACCCCAUCACCAGACCCAUCUAUCAUGCACCCCAUCUCUGAGGCAAAUAUGGCUACAACAUCUGCCUGGGACAAAAUGAGGGAACUUAAUGAAUCUGAAUUAGGCUCUCCAUGUAAAGUGCCCCAUAUGGGUCCACUUACUUGUAACUUUAUUAACCCACUCUCUUCUAACGUGUGCAAGUUGAAUAAAUCCAUAGAUACCAUCGAACCGGUAACAGAACCAGCUGAACAAGACCAACAAAUGAGAGAUGACUCUAUUUUAAUUUUAGCCCCGAAGAGUGAUCUGGUUGAAGACCCGACAGGUCGUAUUAACAAAGCUAUCCAAACAGUUAAUGAUCACUCAACUAGUGGCACGAUACCUGCUGACUUAAUUUCGCUCUCUCUAAGUAAUACCCCCCUAACUCUACCAUCAGGCUCUGAAAAGUCAACUAUCUUAGGCCUAACAUCUGCCUUUAGCGAGACGAGUGGCACAACUUUACAGCCAAACCACCCCAAUAAAUCUAAACAGUUGGGAUGUAUAGCACGAUUGCCACCUUCUCAAAGGAAAAUUACUGAUUUUUUUGAAGCUGAAACUCCCCCAAAUUUAGAAUCCCAUUCCCACAUGAUCUGA
rnacentral:lncRNA from 1 species